rnacentral:rRNA from 1 species
AAUCAACGCUGGCGGCGUGCCUCAGACAUGCAAGUCGAACGAUCAAGACUUCCUUCGGGAAGUGUAUAAAGUGGCGCACGGGUGAGUAACACGUAGGUAAUGUGCCUUUGGGUGGGGAAUAACUUAGGGAAACUUAAGCUAAUACCGCAUAAUGCAGCGGCUCGACAUCGAGACAGUUGUUAAAGGAGUAAUCCGCCUAAAGAGCAGCCUGCGGCAGAUUAGCUAGUUGGUAAGGUAAUGGCUUACCAAGGCUACGAUCUGUAACCGACCUGAGAGGGUGGUCGGUCACACUGACACUGAAUAACGGGUCAGACUCCUACGGGAGGCAGCAGUCGGGAAUUUUGGGCAAUGGGCGAAAGCCUGACCCAGCAACGCCGCGUGAAGGAUGAAGUAUUUCGGUAUGUAAACUUCGUAAGAAUAGGAAGAAUAAAUGACGGUACUAUUUGUAAGGUCCGGCUAACUACGUGCCAGCCGCCGCCGUAAGAC